UACAGAGGUCCCGAGCGUUGUUCGGAUUCACUGGGCGUAAAGGGUGCGUAGGUGGCAUGGUAAGUUUGAUGUGAAAGCUCAGGGCUCAACCCUGAAAUGGCAUUGAAUACUACUGUGCUGGAGGUUUGGAGGGGGGACUGGAAUUCUUGGUGUAGCAGUGAAAUGCGUAGAUAUCAAGAGGAACACCAGUGGCGAAGGCGAGUCCCUGGACAACACCUGACGCUGAGGUGCGAAAGCUAGGGGAGCGAACGGG
rnacentral:rRNA from 1 species